CAGCCGCCGCGGUAAUACGAAGGGGGCUAGCGUUGUUCGGAAUUACUGGGCGUAAAGCGCACGUAUGCGGACAUUUAAGUCAGGGGUGAAAUCCCGGGGCUCAACCCCGGAACUGCCUUUGAUACUGGGUGUCUAGAGUAUGGAAGAGGUGAGUGGAAUUCCGAGUGUAGAGGUGAAAUUCGUAGAUAUUCGGAGGAACACCAGUGGCGAAGGCGGCUCACUGGUCCAUUACUGACGCUGAGGUGCGAAAGCGUGGGGAGCAAACAGGAUUAGAUACCCCUGUAGUCCCUGUCUCUUAUAA
rnacentral:rRNA from 1 species